ensembl:misc_RNA
CUGAAAAUCUCAGCCUGAACACUGAAAUCCUGUGCUUAAAUACGAAAUGAGAAUAGCACAGGGUAUCAACAGUGCUGGCUCUCCUGCAGUGCCCUGCCAAUGUUCUUUAAUCUUGAUCGGGAAAGACCACCUGCAAGGCUAAGCUGAUAGUCUCAUUCUUCCUGUCCAUUCAUUCCUGGGUCGCU